AUGGCCGAAUGCUUCAAUACGGUGCUCAAAGGAGCACGUGAAUUACCCGCGACGACAAUAGUUCAAUACACAUUUGACAAGAUGAAUGCGUACUUUCUGAAGUACUCGAUGGAAAUGGAUGCACAGAUAGUGGGUGAGAACCCGCACAAGUACAAGUACAAGUUCCCACCCAAGGUUGAUGAAUGGUUGGUAUUUCAAUCACGGAAGGCGGACUCAGAAGAAGCUAUAUUAUAUGACAAUGAAGAGUGGAAGUACGAAGUAAAAGAGCCAGGAGGAACCACAAACGAUGGCCGCCAACAUGGAGCCUGUCCAGUGUGGCGCCUGCGCGCUAGGCGCUGCACCGGUCUGUAA
rnacentral:rRNA from 1 species